GAUGAACGCUGGCGGCGUGCUUAACACAUGCAAGUCGAACGGUCAAGCAGAGCUUGCUCUGUGGAUCAGUGGCGAACGGGUGAGUAACACGUGAGCAACCUGCCCCUCACUCUGGGAUAAGCGCUGUAAACGGCGUCUAGUACUGGAUAUGAGCUGCGACCGCAUGGUCAGCAGUUGGAAAGAUUUUUCGGUUUGGGAUGGGCUCACGGCCUAUCAGCUUGUUGGUGAGGUAAUGGCUGACCAAGGCGUCGACAGGUAGCCGGCCUGAGAGGGUGACCGGGCACACUGGGACUGAGAGACGGCGCAGUCUCCUACGUGAGGCAGCAGUGGGGAGUAUUGCGCAGUGGGCGAAAGCCUGAUGCAGCAGCGCCGCGUGAGUGAUGACGGCUUUCUGGUUGUAAACCUCUUUGAGCAGGGAAGAAGCGAAAGUGACGGUACCUGCAGAAAAAGCGCCGGCUAACUACGUG
rnacentral:rRNA from 1 species